CAAAGUGUAGCUUAAAGAAAGCCUUUCGCUUACACCGAAAUCAUGCCUGUUAAAACCAGGUCACCUUGA
rnacentral:tRNA from 1 species